GCUAUUUUUUGGGUGAAGCUUCCUAGAGAAGAAGAGAAGCUAUAAAUAGAUGAGUCGAGGAUCAGAAAUCGAGCGCUUUUCUAUUUGAAUUUCUCCCCUCUUUUCUCUCUUCUCAGAUCUAGGUUUCUCACAUUCGAAGAUGGCGAUCUGAGUUCCAGCCUCUGAUUCGAGUUCGAGAAUGUCGUAGGACGCUAAGAAUCUCAUCGGCGAUACUUGUGAAUCCUUUGCUUUCAUUUCGGAAAAAUAAGGCAUCCAGCAAACAUUCUAUUUGUUAAGUGGCACAGCCUGUGCCAUCCCAGGCUGAAGAGCCAAGGAUGGAUUUUCUCCUGAAGAGAUCUUUCUGAAGGACGACAAGUCGAUUUGAGAUUUACACUGAAGACAGAACAAUAGCCUAGUCAAAUAUACCGUUUUCCCUGGAGUUGAAGAUGCAGGUGUUUCUUGUCCUCUUGGUGCUUAAUGGUCAUGAUCUUAAACUAUUAUCAGUUAAAGUUGAUGGUGAAGAAGUUAAGUAAACUAAUGGAUUGGAAAGAACGAAGAAUAAUUUGGAUUGAAGUUGAAAAGGUCCAUGGAAGCCCAACAAUGUCGACAAGCCAAAGAACAUUAGGCAAAAGAGAUCCUCUCCCAUAGACAUGUCUCGGACC